GGAAGCCAUUUUUACAUACUGGAAGUUGGUAUCGAAUGGGUUCAGCACAAACUUCUAGCAUGUUGGGUUCUUCUCAAGUUAUUCGUGAUAGCUCAGUUUCAGUUCUUGCUUGUGUUAUGAUUGUUGCUUUAGGUCCAAUCCAGUUUGGGUUCACUUCUGGUUACUCAUCGCCUACUCAAACUGCCAUAGUUAAUGAUCUGAAGCUCAGUGUAUCUGAGUUCUCCUUAUUCGGUUCCUUAUCUAAUGUGGGUGCUAUGGUUGGGGCAAUAUCUA
rnacentral:misc_RNA from 1 species